rnacentral:rRNA from 1 species
GAUGAACGCUGGCGGCGUGCCUAAUACAUGCAAGUCGAGCGAACGGACGAGAAGCUUGCUUCUCUGAUGUUAGCGGCGGACGGGUGAGUAACACGUGGAUAACCUACCUAUAAGACUGGGAUAACUUCGGGAAACCGUAGCUAAUACCGGAUAAUAUUUUGAACCGCAUGGUUCAAAAGUGAAAGACGGUCUUGCUGUCACUUAUAGAUGGAUCCGCGCUGCAUUAGCUAGUUGGUAAGGUAACGGCUUACCAAGGCAACGAUGCAUAGCCGACCUGAGAGGGUGAUCGGCCACACUGGAACUGAGACACGGUCCAGACUCCUACGGGAGGCAGCAGUAGGGAAUCUUCCGCAAUGGGCGAAAGCCUGACGGAGCAACGCCGCGUGAGUGAUGAAGGUCUUCGGAUCGUAAAACUCUGUUAUUAGGGAAGAACAUAUGUGUAAGUAACUGUGCACAUCUUGACGGUACCUAAUCAGAAAGCCACGGCUAACUACGUGCCAGCAGCCGCGGUAAUACGUAGGUGGCAAGCGUUAUCCGGAAUUAUUGGGCGUAAAGCGCGCGUAGGCGGUUUUUUAAGUCUGAUGUGAAAGCCCACGGCUCAACCGUGGAGGGUCAUUAGAAACUGGAAAACUUGAGUGCAGAAGAGGAAAGUGGAAUUCCAUGUGUAGCGGUGAAAUGCGCAGAGAUAUGGAGGAACACCAGUGGCGAAGGCGACUUUCUGGUCUGUAACUGACGCUGAUGUGCGAAAGCGUGGGGAUCAAACAGGAUUAGAUACCCUGGUAGUCCACGCCGUAAACGAUGAGUGCUAAGUGUUAGGGGGUUUCCGCCCCUUAGUGCUGCAGCUAACGCAUUAAGCACUCCGCCUGGGGAGUACGACCGCAAGGUUGAAACUCAAAGGAAUUGACGGGGACCCGCACAAGCGGUGGAGCAUGUGGUUUAAUUCGAAGCAACGCGAAGAACCUUACCAAAUCUUGACAUCCUUUGACAACUCUAGAGAUAGAGCCUUCCCCUUCGGGGGACAAAGUGACAGGUGGUGCAUGGUUGUCGUCAGCUCGUGUCGUGAGAUGUUGGGUUAAGUCCCGCAACGAGCGCAACCCUUAAGCUUAGUUGCCAUCAUUAAGUUGGGCACUCUAAGUUGACUGCCGGUGACAAACCGGAGGAAGGUGGGGAUGACGUCAAAUCAUCAUGCCCCUUAUGAUUUGGGCUACACACGUGCUACAAUGGACAAUACAAAGGGCAGCGAAACCGCGAGGUCAAGCAAAUCCCAUAAAGUUGUUCUCAGUUCGGAUUGUAGUCUGCAACUCGACUACAUGAAGCUGGAAUCGCUAGUAAUCGUAGAUCAGCAUGCUACGGUGAAUACGUUCCCGGGUCU